rnacentral:rRNA from 1 species
UACGAAGGGUGCAAGCGUUAAUCGGAAUUACUGGGCGUAAAGCGUGCGCAGGCGGCUAUGCAAGACAGAUGUGAAAUCCCCGGGCUCAACCUGGGAACUGCAUUUGUGACUGCAUGGCUAGAGUACGGCAGAGGGGGAUGGAAUUCCGCGUGUAGCAGUGAAAUGCGUAGAUAUGCGGAGGAACACCGAUGGCGAAGGCAAUCCCCUGGGCCUGUACUGACGCUCAUGCACGAAAGCGUGGGGAGCAAACAGG